ACCUUCCUCAUCCUCACCAUCCUCACAGCCUUCAUCUUCAGUGUCACCUUCCGCAUUCUCAUCCUCACCAUCCUCCUCGAGGCCUUCAUCUUCAGCGUCACCUUCCUCAUCCUCCCCAUCCUCUUCAUCCUCCCCAUCCUCCUCAAGGCCUUCUGCGUCACCUUCCCCAUCCUCACCAUCCUCCUUGAGGCCUUCAUCUUCAGCGUCACCUUCCUCAUCCUCCCCGCUGUGCUUUCCUUUGGGACCUUUGCCUCUGGUGUCAUCUUCACCAUUCUCCUCGUGGCCUCCACCUUCAUCCCCAUCCUCCCCUUUAGGACCUUCAUCCCCUUCUUCUUUAGGGCCUUCAUCCUUAGUGCCAUCUUCCUCACCAUCCUCCUCUUCACGGUCUCCAUCAUCAUCUUCCUCCUCCUCACCAUCAUCUUCCUCCUUAGGAGCCCCACCUUGCCCUCGCUGUCACCUACUUGGUGUUGCCUUCCUCCUCACCACCCUCCUUGGAUUCUUCCCCUUCCCCCUUGAGGCCUCCAUCCUCUUCCUCCUCAGGACCUCCAUCUUCAUCCCUAGGCCCUCCAUCCUCUUCCUCCUCACGGCCUCCAUCUUCCUCCUCACCACCCUCCUCCUCCUCGGGCCUCCCAUCUUCCUCCUUCCUCCCUCCAUCCUCUUCCUCUUUGCGUUCUUCACCCUCUUCCUUCUCCCCUCCCGCCCCAACGCACGCCGGUGGGUGACAGCAGGGACAGUCGGAGCGGUGCGAGGGUUGGGCGUCGCGGCGGGGGUUGUAGAAAUCUACAAAGGGGAAGACAGGAAACACCUGUAGGGACUACAGCUGUAGGGUGAGCAACACCUAUAGGGACAACACCUGUAGGGAUGAGCAACACCUGUAGGGACAACACGUGUAGGGUGAGCAACACCUGUAAGGGGAACAGUUGGAGGGGGGUGAUGGUUGGGUGUUGGGUUGUAGAAGUCCGUAAAGGGGAAGACAGGAAACACCUGUAGGGACUACAGCUGUAGGAUGAACAACAUGAGCAACACCUGUAGAAUGAGCAACACCCGUAGGGGAAACAGACGUAGGGUGAGCGACACCCAUAGGGGGGAACAGUUGGAGGGGGGUGAUGGUUGGGUGUUGGGUUGUAGAAAGCUACAAAGGGGAAGGCAGGGAACACCCGUAGGGACAACAGCCCUAGGGACAACACCCAUAGGGUGAGCAACACCUGUAGGGGGAACAGUCGGAGGGGGUGAUGGUUGGGUGUUGGGUUGCAGAAAUCUACAAAGGGGAAGGCAGGAAACACCCGUAGAGGGACAACAGCUGUAGGACCACCGCCUGUAGGACCAGGAGGACCAGGGACAGUCAGAGAGGGGUGUGGUGGUGGGGUACGGGGUGUAGGGUUGUUGAAAUCUACAUGGAGAAGACACCGAACACCCGUAGGACCACCACCGCCUGUAGGACACCACCCACGUGGUGACCACCACCACCCAUAGGGUGACCACCAACCAUGGGGGGACCACCACCACCACCUGUGGAGUGACUGUCAUCACCUGUAGGACCACCACCACCCAUAGGUGACCCCCUACCAUAGGGUGACCCCCACCACCCAUAGGUGACCCCCAACCAUAGGGUGAUCCCCACCACCACCACCACCCACAGGGUGACCCCCACCCACAGGGUGACACCCCCUCAGCACCACCAC
ensembl:lncRNA